rnacentral:rRNA from 1 species
CCUACGGGAGGCAGCAGUGAGGAAUAUUGGUCAAUGGGCGAGAGCCUGAACCAGCCAAGUCGCGUGAGGGAGUACUGCCCUAUGGGUUGUAAACCUCUUUUGUCGGGGAGCAAAAGCCGGACGUUUCCGGCUGUGAGAGUACCCGCAGAAAAAGCAUCGGCUAACUCCGUGCCAGCAGCCGCGGUAAUACGGAGGAUGCGAGCGUUAUCCGGAUUUAUUGGGUUAAAAGGGUGCGCAGGCGGAUUUUUAAGUCAGCGGUAAAAUCGUGGGGCUCAACCCCAUCCAGCCGUUGAAACUGGGGAUCUAGAGUGUGCGAGAGGUAGGCGGAAUGCGUGGUGUAGCGGUGAAAUGCAUAGAUAUCACGCAGAACCCCGAUUGCGAAGGCAGCAUACCGGUGCACAACUGACGCUCAGGCACGAAAGCGUGGGUAUCGAACAGGAUUAGAUACCCCAGUAGUC